GACGAACGCUGGCGGCGUGCCUAAUACAUGCAAGUAGAACGCUGAAGGAGGAGCUUGCUUCUCUGGAUGAGUUGCGAACGGGUGAGUAACGCGUAGGUAACCUGCCUGGUAGCGGGGGAUAACUAUUGGAAACGAUAGCUAAUACCGCAUAACAGUAGAUGUUGCAUGACAUUUGCUUAAAAGGUGCAAUUGCAUCACUACCAGAUGGACCUGCGUUGUAUUAGCUAGUUGGUGAGGUAACGGCUCACCAAGGCGACGAUACAUAGCCGACCUGAGAGGGUGAUCGGCCACACUGGGACUGAGACACGGCCCAGACUCCUACGGGAGGCAGCAGUAGGGAAUCUUCGGCAAUGGACGGAAGUCUGACCGAGCAACGCCGCGUGAGUGGAGAAGGUUUUCGGAUCGUAAAGCUCUGUUGUAAGAGAAGAACGAGUGUGAGAGUGGAAAGUUCACACUG
rnacentral:rRNA from 1 species